AGGGAAACCGAGUCUUAACCGGGCGUUAAGUUGCAGGGUAUAGACCCGAAACCCGGUGAUCUAGCCAUGGGCAGGUUGAAGGUUGGGUAACACUAACUGGAGGACCGAACCGACUAAUGUUGAAAAAUUAGCGGAUGACUUGUGGCUGGGGGUGAAAGGCCAAUCAAACCGGGAGAUAGCUGGUUCUCCCCGAAAGCUAUUUAGGUAGCGCCUCGUGAACUCAUCUUCGGGGGUAGAGCACUGUUUCGGCUAGGGGGUCAUCCCGACUUACCAACCCGAUGCAAACUGCGAAUACCGAAGAAUGUUAUCACGGGAGACACACGGCGGGUGCUAACGUCCGUCGUGAAGAGGGAAACAACCCAGACCGCCAGCUAAGGUCCCAAAGUCACAGUUAAGUGGGAAACGAUGUGGGAAGGCUCAGACAGCCAGGAUGUUGGCUUAGAAGCAGCCAUCAUUUAAAGAAAGCGUAAUAGCUCACUGGUCGAGUCGGCCUGCGCGGAAGAUGUAACGGGGCUAAACUGUGCACCGAAGCUGCGGCAGCGACGCUUAUGCGUUGUUGGGUAGGGGAGCGUUCUGUAAGCCUGCGAAGGUGUCCUGUGAGGGAUGCUGGAGGUAUCAGAAGUGCGAAUGCUGACAUAAGUAACGAUAAUGCGGGUGA
rnacentral:rRNA from 1 species